UACCGGCGGCUCGAGUGGUGACCACUUUUAUUGGGCUUAAAGCGUUCGUAGCUGGGUCGUUAAGUCCCUUGGGAAAUCUGACGGCUUAACCGUCAGGCGUCUAAGGGAUACUGGCGAUCUUGGGACCGGGAGAGGUGAGAGGUACUCCGGGGGUAGGAGUGAAAUCCUGUAAUCCUCGGGGGACCACCUGUGGCGAAGGCGUCUCACCAGAACGGCUCCGACAGUGAGGGACGAAAGCUGGGGGAGCAAA
rnacentral:rRNA from 1 species